UAACCACUGUGCCACGACGGGAACUCCUGUCAACAUACUCUUGCUUCUGCCUUCCUGAGGGUCCCUGGGAACAUCACUGGAUGUUCCUGCCCUGGUUUCCUCAUGCAUGUCCCAGGGAGAAAUAACAUUUUCCUCCUGGGCCUGGCUGUUUGUGACAAUGAAAUGCCAUGGGGACAUGAAGUGCCCACCAGCACCAGAGCACAUAGUAGGUGCUUGGCGAAAUAGCUUGACCCCUUCUCCAUCCCCACUCCCCUCCCCCCCUUUUUCAGUUGGAGCCGGAAGAAAGCUCGUCAAUCACAGGAUAAUUUAUGCAGCAUGAUAUGCCUUUAUUAUUCCAUGCUGAGUCGGGGCUUCUACUGUCCAAUGAAGGUCAAAAGGAGAGGCGAAAAGAACCAGUUUGAAAUCAGGAGUUUCAUGCUUUGGAAGACAUAAAAGUCAGGACCGGAAAUUUUUCUUUGGGAUGCAGUUUCUCGGUGAAACCCUGGCUCUGAGAAGCCACUAGAUUUGGGUUCCCAUGAAAAACCAGUCUCAUUCCGUCCUUGUCCUGAAAUUCUUCACACCGGUUCUAAAAACUCUGGAAGCCUCUCUUUCCUCCUUUCUAACCUCAGAUUGGCCCAAGGCCUGGGCCCUCUGUAAAGACAUGACGGGGCGCACAGGGCGCUCACAUGGCCGUGAACCUCUGGCCCUCUCCUUCUCUCUCCGUGACUCAGUUUCCUCAUCAGAACAGGGUCCCAGACCCAGGGAGACCCCGGGAUGACCUCAGUAGGGUCUGAGGAGCCCGUGAAAGAGAUGAUCGGCCCUUCCUCCCCGCAACUCGGGAUCCGAGCCACGUCUGCAAGCCUCCAC